AUUCAAAUAGCUUAUUUUUAGAGCGUUGCACUGAAGAUGCUGAGGAGAUUAUUAAAUCUUUGAAUA
rnacentral:tRNA from 1 species